rnacentral:rRNA from 1 species
GGAAGUAAAAGUCGUAACAAGGUCUCCGUUGGUGAACCAGCGGAGGGAUCAUUACUGAGUUAUCAAAACUCCAAACCCUUUGUGAACCUUACCGUCGUUGCCUCGGCGUGAGCUACGGCUACCCUGUAACUACCCUGGAGCUACCCUAGAGUUACACUAUAGCUACCCUGCACUUACCCUGCAGCUACCCUAUAGCUACCCUGGAGCUACCCUGGAGCUACCCUGUAGUCGGCUUCGGCCCGCCGAAGGACCGUUAAACUCUUGUUUUUACCACUGUUUCUCUGAACUUUAAACUAAAAUAAGUUAAAACUUUCAACAACGGAUCUCUUGGUUCUGGCAUCGAUGAAGAACGCAGCGAAAUGCGAUAAGUAAUGUGAAUUGCAGAAUUCAGUGAAUCAUCGAAUCUUUGAACGCACAUUGCGCCCACUAGUAUUCUAGUGGGCAUGCCUAUUCGAGCGUCAUUUCGACCCCUAAGCCCCUGUUGCUUAGCGUUGGGAAUCUACGGCGUAGUUCCUCAAAGUUAGUGGCGGAGUUAGGGUACACUCUCAGCGUAGUAAUUUCUCUCGCUCGUGUGGUGGCCCUGGCUGCUAGCCGUUAAAACCCCUAUAUUUUCUAGUGGUUGACCUCGGAUUAGGUAGGAAUACCCGCUGAACUUAAGCAUAUCAAUAAGGCGGAGG